UGCCCUUCGGGAGCCCGGAGACAGGUGCUGCAUGGCUGUCGUCAGCUCGUGUCGUGAGAUGUUGGGUUAAGUCCCGCAACGAGCGCAACCCUUAUCCCUAGUUGCCAUCAGGUAAAGCUGGGAACGUCUGGGGAGACUGCCGGUGAUAAACCGGAGGAAGGCGGGGAUGACGUCAAGUCCUCAUGGCCUUUAUGCCCAGGGCUACACGACGUGCUACAAUGGUCGGUACAGAGGGUUGCCAACCCGCGAGGGGGAGCUAAGUCCCACAAAGCCGAUCGUAGUCCGGAUCGCAGUCUGCAACUCGACUGCGUGAAGUCGGAAUCGCUAGUAAUCGUGGAUCAGCAUGUCACGGUGAAUACGUUCCCGGGUCUU
rnacentral:rRNA from 1 species